GCGGGGGUCGCCAAGCGGUCAACGGCGCGAGGCUUAGGACCUCGUCCCAUAGGGGUUCGCAGGUUCGAAUCCUGUCCCCCGCA
rnacentral:tRNA from 1 species